rnacentral:tRNA from 2 species
CGGGGCGUAGCGCAGCCUGGUAGCGCACCUGAUUUGGGAUCAGGUGGUCGGACGUUCGAAUCGUCUCGCCCCGA